rnacentral:lncRNA from 1 species
CCUGAAACCUAGACGGAGACGUGCGAGAAACAGAUUUUGAACAUGAAAAGAGCAGCUGUGUUGGCUGAUACAGCCCUCUAUCCCCAGGCUGCCACCUCUCCCCUCUCCAACGGCCUUUACUUAACGGAACCUGGUUGCAGAGGCAGCUGGCUGAGCAUGUCUGCUCCUGCUGAAAUCUCACCACAGAUGCGGCUGCUUCAUAAUGACUAUAAUCAGAGCAAGAGCUUUUCCCAUCACCUUCAUUUCUCUCUCCUCACGUACGAGCGGCACACACAUUUUUCAAAAAGUGGCUUCUAAACACCAGAGCAACCACAGCUUAUGUCAUUGCAUGGCUAAUCUUCUGAAGUUAGACAUUGCACUAUUAGUUCCAAGUUCCUGACACAUGCACUUUUAAGGGCCCACUGUGUCAACAUGUCAAAUGGGAUGUAGCGUGCAGACGGCUGUACAUUGCAAUCUUUCUCAGUGUUGGAAGAGAAGCACAGCUAAGAUCAUCAUCACUUUCCAAAGAUAGCCAGCCAUGUGUUGAUGUCGAGGUUUGCUUUGAUGUCAUGUCAAUGCAUCAGUACAACUGGUUUACUUCUACUUACAGUGAACGCUCGCUGUGAAAUCAUUUCUGUGUGAGCUGUCCUUUGCGUGGCAUAUGCCCAUUCAGACAUGAAUGAGAAUGGCACUUUGCAAGUAAGCACUAUGAACAAAUGACAAGAUGUAUGGGUGUGACACCUUGCUGAAAUGUGAUUUCCCACUGAAGCCACCCUGAACAAACCCGUUGAUGUGGAUAAUAAACACAAAGACCUCAAAGCUGUGCUUGUUUUGUUUUAUAGAAGCACCUCAUAAUCACUUUAAAUGCUCUACGCCAUAAAUUACUACAUCGGGACAAUUUUGCUAGCAUCUCUUGCUAAUUGAUUUCCCUGUUCUUAUGUUCUCAUGGUGGGUCCCAUUUCAGAGGGAAUCAGAGGGUGUAUGAGGUGUUGAUAAACCUCUUUAAUCCCUGUCCCCUUCUCAGAUAAAUGCAGCCCUUCAUCACAUCCAUGAUUCACUGCUGAUAGUGCCAAAAUGAAUGUGUUAGUAAUAGUGUCCCUUAUUCAUUGUGGUGAUGUUGAUAUGAUCAACUAUGUUAAAUGAGGCUGUGGCUUGGUAAAAAAAAAAAAAAAAUCUGUAAGAUAUACAUAAGAAAAAUCCUGGUGAAACUUGUUGGAUGGGAUAACUCAUGUCUGCACGGAAAAUACGGUAAAGACGUGGCUAGAGCCAGCGUUCAGUUAGCUUAGCAUAGCAUUAAUACUGUCCAAAUCAUAGACUGUAUAUAAAUGGACAUAAUCACCUGAGCCUGAGAAAUGCUAAUGAGUAAGUGCCUGAAGCCUGUAUCCUCUGGAAUCACCAGAGCCAUCACACACAGCCAGGCUACCACCCUUGUGUUUUCUGUCUCUAUGUUAAGCUUAGCAAACCGAUAGAGUGGUUUCCAUCUUCUCAUCCAACUAUCUGGAAGGUGAAAUUUCCCGAAAUAGCCUAUUUCCCAAAGUGUCAAACAAUUCCUCUAACUGGCACUGGGGUUUUUUUCUCUC